UUAUCGACGUCAUGACGUAUUGGUGGGUGGGUCUUAUCGCUCCCUCAGGAAAGCUGAGUCAGCCAUCUUGAAUUUGCCUUGAUGCAGGUGAAGUUUUGGCAAGCCCAUGUGGAUGUGGAACACAGUUUAAUUUGUUUUUAAUUGUUUAUAUCUGUUUGGAAUGCGUACUUUUAUCCCCCCGCUUCAAACCACCACCACCUCAGUUAUUUUCAUUAGUCUUAUUGCUCUCAUUUUCUUAAGCGCUGUCUUAUCAUCAGCCCUGAUUUGGCUCAAGUGUGUGGUUGUGAGAUCUUCUCGAAAUAAUUUUAACAGUUCAGAUAUCGGACUACAAAGAGUGCUACAGAGAGUCAAUGUUCCACUAUCAGACAGGUGCCAAUAGGAACCAAAAGAUGGCUGCUGCCCAGAAGCAUGUGCUGCGUGUGUAUGUUGCACGAGACACCGCCCUGAAGCUUACUCUACUCGAGCGACCAAAGUCAGUGGAGGAGCUGAAAGAAAUAAUACAAGAGAGGUUCAAGCCGAGACUGGAUGGGGACUUUAGCCUGCACUAUGAGGAUCCGGACUUUGAUGGUGAUCUUUGUCUUCUUGUGGACAUCCAGGAGUUACCAGAGAAGGGCACAUUGAGAGUCAUCAGGCCUGAAGGUGACACCUCAUCUACUGCAUCUUCUGACACAUACUUACUCCCAUGUGUAUCUGCGUUACAGCGCCAAAAGAGUUGGCCUGAUCACUUUGUUGUUCCUGGUUUUGAUUAUGGAAUGUAGCAUAUACUAGAAGAAGGAAAUCGUGUUUAUGAAGAAUCAGGAAAAUUGCUGAAGUUAAAGAGGUCACAGAAGAGUGAAAUCCUUAAAAAAAUGGCAGAAAUGAUCUACAGUUUUAAACCAUACCCACAUGAAAAGGAAUUGGCAAUUGCUGCUAAAGCUUUGAUUACAGCUCAUCCAUGUCUCAGAAUGACGGCUGGUGAAGACGCAGAGUUGGGAUGAAAACGUCACAUAGGGUACAAGGUUGCGUCUUACCGUAACAAUCUGGCCAAAGUUGGGGUUGCAGAAGUAGCCAUCAACACAGGGAGGCGGAGCCGAAACAACCCCAACAAUGAUCACCCCCAUCAAAAUAUAAAGAAAGCUCGAAAAGCUGAGGUCAACUACAUCAUCAACCUACCAAAGGAUCAAACCCCAGCCACUCUGGAAACAAUGAGAGAAGAAAUCAUACAUUAAGUCGAAAAGACUGAGAGAAACCAUUUAGUCAUAGGCAAGCUCAUGAACACAACCUAUGCCCUUCGUCGCCAAGAAAUCGUUGGAGCUCUUGUAGCUCCACGGGUGAGAGACGUCGUGGAUAGAUGGCCAGCCCUACUUAUGGAGUCACAGGUGUUUGCAGAGUUCCACCGAAUCAACAAUGUUAACCUGCGCAAUCAAUUCUACAAGGAGCUGGACAGACACACGCAAG